CCAGAGUUGCUCAACAGGAUAGACGAAGUUGUGGUAUUCCAUCCCCUUGAGAAGGCUCAGGUUUGUCACCAUUCUUUUUCUGUAAUUUGUUUUUCCAUGGACUCCAAUGACAUUUGUUGUUGGAAGGCUGCAGCCUUACUAUACGUCACCUUUUACAAGUUUGAACUUAAAAUUCUGCCGAGUUAUAUCAUUUGGUUCCCAUUUACAAGCCUUUAUCUCUUUUCUUUUUUCCUUUUUGGUGUGGUCUCGCCCAUGCUGUAUUCACCUUUUACAAGUUUGAACUUAAAAUUCUCACUUUUCAGUGAAUCUGAAUCACCUGGGACUGUGGCUUUGAGCAAACA
rnacentral:lncRNA from 1 species